UACGUAGGGUGCGAGCGUUUGUCCGGAAUUAUUGGGCGUAAAGGGCUCGUAGGCGGUUUGUCGCGUCGGGAGUGAAAACCUUGGGCUUAACUCAGGGCUUGCUUUCGAUACGGGCAGACUAGAGGUAUGCAGGGGAGAACGGAAUUCCUGGUGUAGCGGUGAAAUGCGCAGAUAUCAGGAGGAACACCGGUGGCGAAGGCGGGUCUCUGGGCCGAUACUGACGCUGAGGAGCGAAAGCGUGGGGAGCGAACAGG
rnacentral:rRNA from 1 species